AUGCUGUCAUUGGACUAUUAUGUACUGCCUCUACUGUUUGUCUCUACUCUAACAGGAGUCAGCUGUGAAAAACUGAGUCCAGUCAAGACUGAAGAGUUCAGUUCAGAAGGCAGCUCUGUUACUCUGUCCUACAACUACUCCACAAAGGCAACUGGUGGCGAUUAUUUCUUCUGGUAUCGACAAUAUCCAGGAAAACCACCAGAGUUCCUCAUCCUUCACUUUGGAAAUCAAAAUAAAACAAAGUCUGGACUGUCAGUUACAGUGAGUGGUGAUAAAACCAGAAUGGAUCUGCAGAUCUCCUGUGCUGCAGUGACUGACUCUGCUCUGUACUACUGUGCUCUGAGGUGCUGCUUGGCAGAGAACUGUAACAGCCUGGAAGAUGAUAUUACUGCCAGCAGUGCUGAGGUGUUUUCAUCAGAGGGCCGUACUGUUACUCUGUCCUGUAACUACUCAGGUUCUGGUGAUUACCUCUACUGGUAUCAACAGAAGUCCAGUUCAUCUCCACAGUUUCUCAUCAAAGAAUAUUCAGAGAACACACCAGGACUAUCUUUACAACAUGACAAGGAAAAUAAAGAGUUUCAUCUGAACAUCUCCUCUGCUGCAGUGACUGACUCUGCUGUGUACUACUGUGCUCUG